AAGUUGCAGAACAAAGCUAAUGGUUCGAAGCCUGGAUUUACCAGCAUGGCAUCCUACUCCGAAUCCCAUGGCCGUUACUGGUAUACGAGGUGCCUGUGACAACUGUGGAAUUGCUCGAGAGAAAGCCACUCUGAUUAUCGGACACCAUAAAGAGAUACA